rnacentral:snoRNA from 7 species
GAAUUGAUCAGAUAGACGAGGCCGGGUCCGUCCCAGCCGCUGAUUACCGAGCGAUUCUGA